rnacentral:rRNA from 1 species
GACGAACGCUGGCGGCGUGCUUAACACAUGCAAGUCGAACGGAAAGGCCCUGCUUUUGUGGGGUGCUCGAGUGGCGAACGGGUGAGUAACACGUGAGUAACCUGCCCUUGACUUUGGGAUAACUUCAGGAAACUGGGGCUAAUACCGGAUAGGAGCUCCUGCUGCAUGGUGGGGGUUGGAAAGUUUCGGCGGUUGGGGAUGGACUCGCGGCUUAUCAGCUUGUUGGUGGGGUAGUGGCUUACCAAGGCUUUGACGGGUAGCCGGCCUGAGAGGGUGACCGGCCACAUUGGGAAUGAGGUACGGCCCAGACUCCUACGGGAGGCAGCAGUGGGGAAUAUUGCAGAAUGGGCGGAAGCCUGAUGCAGCAACGCCGCGUGCGGGAUGACGGCCGUCGGGUUGUAAACCGCUUUCGCCUGUGACGAAGCGUGAGUGACGGUAAUGGGUAAAGAAGCACCGGCUAACUACGUG